GGGGAAUAUUGGACAAUGGGGGGAACCCUGAUCCAGCCAUGCCGCGUGUGUGAAGAAGGCCUUCUGGUUGUAAAGCACUUUAAGCGAGGAGGAGGCUCUUUUGGUUAAUACCCAAGACUAGUGGACGUUACUCGCAGAUUAAGCACAGGCUAACACUGUGCCAGCAGCCGCGGUAAUACAGAGGGUGCGAGCGUUAAUCGGAUUUACUGGGCGUAAAGCGUGCGUAGGCGGCUUGUUAAGUCGGAUGUGAAAUCCCCGGGCUUAACUUGGGAAUUGCAUUCGAUACUAGGAAGCUAGAGUAUGGGAGAGGAUGGUAGAAUUCCAGGUGUAGCGGUGAAAUGCGUAGAGAUCUGGAGGAAUACCGAUGGCGAAGGCAGCCAUCUGGCCUAAUACUGACGCUGAGGUACGAAAGCAUGGGGAGCAAACA
rnacentral:rRNA from 1 species